CGCCGAGACGGCGUUGUCUCGGCGGAGGAGGCCACGACGGCGGCCGAACAUCGCGUGGCUUUGGGAACCGGUCUCCGCGAAAGCGACCACCGCCGAGGGGGCAAAAUAUACAAGCACUGGAAAACAACAGCAGCAGCGGCGGCAAUGACGAAGAAUAAGAAAAAGAGCAAGCAUAGACUGGUUGUUCUAUACCACGAGGCCUCCUGACAAACAUGCUCAACGAGCCCCGAAAAUGUUCACCCCAGUGUCACCAUGCAGAGCCGCGGCAAAGAAUGUUAUAGGACUUGGAGCUAAAAGCAAUGCGACCGCAGCUAACGAACCGUAAGUUUUGAAAGCUGAUGAAGCCUCUACAGAAUGCAGCAGUUCGUUGAACAUUUCUGAUCUAAUGGUUCACAGUCGUCACAGUUAUAGCACCACACUAAUAUAUAUAUAUAUAUAUAUAUAUAUAUAUAGGUUUGCGAUAUGUAUACAUGCCGGAAUUUUACAUUAUAUGGUGUGUUUGAACUUACGUCAGGAAGACAAGAAAAUCAGCAACAGUAAGAAGAACAAGAAAAAAAGUAUCAAGCCGAAGUAAACGAAUGGUCAUAUAUAAGCCCUCUCUGGCGUAAACAUAACAGCAGGGCUUUCGUGUCUCUGAUUGCGUCCCGCGCAUCUGCCUCGGAGUCGUAGGAAAUCAUUGGUCUGUAUCUGUACUCGUAUAUAAAGUGACAUCUUUGCUGCUAAUCACUCAUUUCUGCGUUAACCAGUAUAUAAAUAAAGUAAAUACAUGUAUGUAUAGAGAGUGAACGUAUAGCCGACGCUGGCGCUUUCAGUCGCUAAAGGUUCAUAGAAGGGACAGUAAGUAUAUGUAUAUAUACUUUGUGCAGCAGCACUUCGACAGUUAUGCAACGACGCGACUUAUGUAUAUAGAGUGCAUACGGUAAGCUCUUUUCUAAUAUGUAAGUGGGUGGAUAUUUGCGUUACAGAAGGCAGCACCGAUACGAAAUUAUUUAAUUGUCGUGGGACGAAAAAAAAAAAAGAAAACAAGAAUGCUCUGCGUCUAUACUCUUUCUGCUUAUAUAACAGAAGGCGGGAUAUAUUGAUACCCAUACUCUAAUUUGUCCGGAGGCUCGCAGCCUCAUGGAAACAAAAGGUGCAUGCAGAAAGCGGAACGCAUCCAGCUGGAAGACGUCAAGUUCGCUGAAUACACUUCGUCGAAGACACAUGCGCAGCAACUUUGUGCACUGCAGCGUAUAUAAAAUACGCGCGCUGACGUAUCCAUUAACUUUUGUACACUUGUUAAACGCACACAGAACUCGCAUAAUACGAACAGAACUGAGGAUAUCGGCGCCGUAGUGUUCUCAGUUCAUCAUCAUCAUCAUCAUAAUUGUCGUUAUCCUAUUUAUGUCCACUGCAGGACGAAGGCCUCCCCCUGCGAUCUCCAAUUGCCCCUGUCCUGCACCAACCGAUUCCAACUACCCGCAACUGUUCCCAAUUACUGCUGGACAAGAUCCGUAUUACGCGUCCAUUCAGAGGCAGCGAGCGAUAUUGCCGCGGCUGGAAAUUGCAUCAAAUUAUGUAUUAGCAGCCACUGCCUGUAUACGGUUGUUCCCGUCUUCACGCUACUGCAUCCAAUUCGACGCCUAUUCGCAGUGUACUCAAUGUUCCCGGUCCCCCCCCUUUUUUUUCAUAUUUUAAAAUAUUUUAUGCAGAAGAAUC